rnacentral:rRNA from 1 species
UACGUAGGGUGCAAGCGUUGUCCGGAAUUAUUGGGCGUAAAGAGCUCGUAGGCGGUCUGUCGCGUCGGCUGUGAAAUCCCGAGGCUCAACCUCGGGUCUGCAGUCGAUACGGGCAAACUAGAGUAUUGCAGGGGAGACUGGAAUUCCUGGUGUAGCGGUGAAAUGCGCAGAUAUCAGGAGGAACACCGGUGGCGAAGGCAGCUCGCUGGGACGGUACUGACGCUGAGACGCGAAAGCGUGGGGAGCGAACAGG